UUGGUGGGGUAAGGGCCUACCAAGGCUACGAUCCAUAGCUGAUUUGAGAGGAUGAUCAGCCACAUUGGGACUGAGACACGGCCCAAACUCCUACGGGAGGCAGCAGUGAGGAAUAUUGGACAAUGGGGGCAACCCUGAUCCAGCAAUGCCAUGUGUGUGAAGAAGGCCUUAGGGUUGUAAAGCACUUUAGUUGGGGAAGAAAGCUUUGAGGUUAAUAGCCUUGAGGAAGGACGUUACCCAAAGAAUAAGCACCGGCUAACUCCGUGCCAGCAGCCGCGGUAAUACGGGGGGUGCAAGCGUUAAUCGGAAUUACUGGGCGUAAAGAGUCUGUAGGUGGUUUGUUAAGUCAGAUGUGAAAGCCCAGGGCUCAACCUUGGAACUGCAUUUGAUACUGGCAAACUAGAGUACGGUAGAGGAAUGGGGAAUUUCUGGUGUAGCGGUGAAAUGCGUAGAGAUCAGAAGGAACACCAAUGGCGAAGGCAACAUUCUGGACCGAUACUGACACUGAGGGACGAAAGCGUGGGGAUCAAACAGGAUUAGAUACCCUGGUAGUCCACGCUGUAAACGAUGAGUACUAGCUGUUGGAGUCGGUGUAAAGGCUCUAGUGGCGCAGCUAACGCGAUAAGUACUCCGCCUGGGGACUACGGCCGCAAGGCUAAAACUCAAAGGAAUUGACGGGGACCCGCACAAGCGGUGGAGCAUGUGGUUUAAUUCGAUGCAACGCGAAGAACCUUACCUGGUCUUGA
rnacentral:rRNA from 1 species